UCUCCAGAAUGCAGGGAUAAAAUUAUUGUUCAUUGAUGACUUUAACAAGAGACCAGACACUGUCUGUGUGUAGUCGUCACAUUUGCUCUGUAUCCAACUGUCCAUAUGAGAUGCUUCUACUCCUCCUACAUCCAAAAGACAUGCCUGUUAGGUUGAUUUGGAACUUGAAACUGGUAUGGUGUGAGUAAACGUGCUAGUGUGAGUGUACCAUUUGACAGUCUAGCAUCCCAUGCCUUGUUUCUGACUCAUGCUUGAUGCUCCUGGGACAGGCUCCACCACUCUGAAAAAAGUGUUGAGGAAUAAGAAAGUUGAUACAACAAAUGAAAAUUUUAAAUUGUUUUUGUUUUGUGAUGCUUUACAUUGAAAAUACCAACAGAAACUGUAAGCAUACAGUAUAACAGAAAAAAGGCAAAUCCGUGUUGUCUUCUUCUAAGCAUCUGAACAGCUGAUAUGAAUCGUAUACAUUAUAUAUCAAUCAACCAUACUGUUAUAGAAGAGCUCACUUAAGGAACUGGAUUUAGUAAGUUAUGAUUAAAUUACAUAAUAUUAAUACAAAAUAAAAAAACACACAACCAUAGCAUAAAUAUAGUAAAAUAUAAUAAGAGGACUCACAUACAUUAAGAAACAAAUCUAAGUAAAGGAGUGAAUCACUAGCUCUGAUUCUCUGGUAGCACAGAUCUCAGAGAAAGGUGUCCAUUCACUGUAUUCUUUCAACAAAGGUUAAAGCAUUUGUGAGGUUGUAGUUUGCAAAGUCAACAGAAAUGACUAAGUGCAACUGUCAGACACAGUUUCAGAAUAAGCAGAUUAUACUUUUGUAAUUAUUAUAAUAUAAAGUCAUUUUUAACUUAAAAAAAAUUAAA